rnacentral:rRNA from 1 species
AUGAUCAGGAGCAGCCUGGUGGCGGAGGCGCGCGGUGUUGUAGGCGUAGCCAGCGUCGUCGACGACCUUGUUGUGCCAGGCAGGAAGCUUCGGCGCGUCGUGGACCUUGUCAUGUGCGUAGGCGGCGUAAUAGCCGUGGCCACCGGCGGCAGCGACGACGGAGGCGUGGUCAGGUUUCCACGCGCCGUCGUGGUGGGCCUUGCGCCCCUCCUCUUCAACAGCCGGCUGGUGAACGUAGGCGGUCGCCGGCUUGUUGUCGGCAGCGGCGUUGUAGCCGUUCCGGUUCCCGCGGUCACCCCUGCGGCCGCGGCCGCGGCCGCCACAGCCCCCAUGGCUCGACCGCUCGCCGCCGUAGUCGUCCUUUAUGCCGCCGCCGAAACAGGAGCUGAACUCGAAGCACAUUCUUUCCAGUGUCUCCGACUUCCUGGCUAG